AACGCACAUUGCGCCCGCUAGUAAUCUAGCAGGCAUGCCUGUUCGAGCGUCAUUUCAACCCUCAAGCUCCUACUUGCUUGGUGUUGGGACUUUCUGCUGGUGUUUACAGCCUUUGCAGGUCCUGAAAUAUAGUGGCAGGCUCGCUAAAACUUCCGAGCGUAGUAGUUUUUUCUCCAUCGCUAAGGAAACUUUAGUGGGUGCUAGCCGUUAAACCCUCUAUAUAUUCUUUUUAAGGUUGACCUCGGAUCAGGUAGGAUUACCCGCUGAACUUAA
rnacentral:misc_RNA from 1 species